GUCGAGAAUCUUCGGCAAUGGGCGCAAGCCUGACCGAGCGACGCCGCGUGGAGGACGAAGGCCUUCGGGUUGUAAACUCCUGUCGAGGGGGAGGAAGGGGCAACCUUGACCGAUCCCUGGAGGAAGCACGGGCUAAGUUCGUGCCAGCAGCCGCGGUAAGACGAACCGUGCGAACGUUAUUCGGAAUCACUGGGCUUAAAGCGCGUGUAGGCGGGCCGGCACGUCGGUGCCUGAAAGCCCCCGGCUCAACCGGGGAAGCGGGGCCGAUACGACCGGCCUGGAGGGACGUAGGGGGAUCUGGAACUUCCGGUGGAGCGGUGAAAUGCGUUGAGAUCGGAAGGAACGCCCGUGGCGAAAGCGAGGUCCUGGACGUCUGCUGACGCUGAGACGCGAAAGCUAGGGGAGCGAACGGGAUUAGAAACCCCAGUAGUCC
rnacentral:rRNA from 1 species